AGACUGAUGGCGACCGGCGCACGGGUGAGUAACACGUAUCCAACCUGCCGUCUACUCUUGGACAGCCUUCUGAAAGGAAGAUUAAUACAAGAUGGCAUCAUGAGUCCACAUGUUCACAUGAUUAAAGGUAUUCCGGUAGACGAUGGGGAUGCGUUCCAUUAGGUAGUAGGCGGGGUAACGGCCCACCUAGUCUUCGAUGGAUAGGGGUUCUGAGAGGAAGGUCCCCCACAUUGGAACUGAGACACGGUCCAAACUCCUACGGGAGGCAGCAGUGAGGAAUAUUGGUCAAUGGGCGAGAGCCUGAACCAGCCAAGUAGCGUGAAGGAUGACUGCCCUAUGGGUUGU
rnacentral:rRNA from 1 species